AAGCAGCCUCCAUGUCUCCAGUGUCUUUUCCCCCACUUGGAGCUCAACCUAGAAGGACAUUUCUUUCAUCACCUUAAAAGUGAGUUUAAAAGGUCUACGGUGGCCUCAAUGCUAAUGCUAAAGGACAGAAAACAGUGUCCUCCUCGGUCAAAGGAAGUGUAGCAGCCACCAAAAGAAAUACACAUUUUAAUGGCGUUUUAAGCUCGGCUUCAUACGAGGAAGGAAUCGCGAGAAACUUCGGGGAGGGUCUUGAGUUUAAACUUGGAAGGGAGGCCCACAAGUCAACCGUGAUGCCAGAUAUUCAACGAUUCGGUUGAUGUUUGGGGAGCAGUUUCUUCAGCGUAUCCAGCAAUUUCUGUGGGGUGAGGACAUGUGUGGAUCCUGGAAAAAGAAGAAGACGACACUCAGGUUUCAAAAAAAGGAAGAGCAGAAGAACACCAGAUCCCCCCCUAUAAAUAUGCUUUGCAGAAAUGAACAACAAUGGCCAAUUAAACCCACUGCGGGAAGAGUGACGUUCAACAUUAGAAGCGACACUAAACAAAAGCUGGAGACGUAUCACACACGCUUUUGAACACACACAAAAAUGAGAUGGCACAAGGAAGGAGACAGCAGUGGAGAAGGAAAUCCAAAAAGUUGAGUUCUUAGGCGCAGCGCAUCUCGCUCAGAGCAACCCCGCCCAGGAUGAAAACAAUGAGGCGAGGACCACUUCGGUAUUCUCCGGGAG